UACUCAGCGUCUAAUGGACAGGGG
rnacentral:piRNA from 1 species